UACGUAGGGAGCAAGCGUUGUCCGGAAUCAUUGGGCGUAAAGCGCGCGUAGGCGGCCCGAUAAGUCCGCUGUAAAAGUCAACGGCUCAACUGUUGAAAGCCGGUGGAUACUGUCGGGCUAGAGUACGGAAGAGGCAAGUGGAAUUCCUGGUGUAGCGGUGAAAUGCGUAGAUAUCUGGAGGAACACCGGUGGCGAAGGCGGCAUCCUGGACCGAGAUCGACGCUGAGGCGCGAAAGCUAGGGGAGCAAACGGGG
rnacentral:rRNA from 1 species